AUGUUCAGAUCUGAAUUGCUUAGAAAUUUGAAAACAACUGAAACCUGGUGAUGUGCUGGUUAUAAACGGAAUAGGCUUGUUGUCUUGAUAUGUUCAGAGUCCUGGAACAGUUUAUAGCUGUGAGGUUCAUCUCCAAAUUUUAUUUAUUGUUCUACAUGUGCAUGCAUCUUUAUUUGCGAGCUAUAUGUACCUUUUAGUUGCAGGUUUGAUCAUGAUGUAUUGGUAUCCAUUGCUGAACCGCUUCUCUCUGACAAGAUAUUUACAUGGUGUAGCUUUUAGCCAUUGUCCAAGACUCCAAGUAUAGUCAUGAAGACAUAUUAGAACGAAACUGCAGGACUUGAGUUAACCACACUUGCAGCGAUGGACGUCAUGAUUCUUCGAUCCAUGAUGUUUGCCCUACGAUUUGCGUUCGCAAUAACUGCCCUGAAUUACUUACUAUCAAAGCUACAGUUAUGAGAAACAAUUUCCCAAUUUUUUCUGCUUUCAUAUGGUGGUAAUUAAUUUUCUUUACUUCUGUUUUGAGACAUUUUGCAUUGGAAGCACUUGAGUGAUGUUAGACUUCUUCACAAGGGCGAUCCUACAAAUUCGACAAGAGCUUCUUAUCCUUAAACAAAUUGGAAUGAUUCAUAGGUCUGAAAGUAUGACGGAGGGGCUGAGUGUUUGUCCAAACAAGGGACACAGUUGAAUGAACUAGAGAAUUGGAUUCAAAGGAAGUGUUAGAGCAACAGCCAACAUUGCAACAGUUAUUAUACCGGCUUGUUGGAUGUCUGUUUUUUUUUCUCUGUAGCCUGAAGGAGCCGCAAAUAAUAACUACUUGGUGAAAUACGCACUAGCUUUAAAUGCCAUAUGUGAGGUCCAAGAUGUCAGUUCUAGGAGAUCUACCCGAGGAUGUCAUAUGCCAGUGCUCAGUUAUUUUUGUGAGCAACCAUUUCCCAGUAUCGAUGUUAUGUUUGGUAUUGUCAGGAAUAAAAUUAGGAUGAUUGGAUAGUUACAGACAAUAUGGAUAUGAUGCAGUCUUGUGCAAUUUGAUUUCACGAGCUAGCAGAUCAUGGUUAGUCGGGCAUUCUUUGUUCAAUAGACCUUCAUAACAUCUAAUUUAAACCAUUUGCGGAAGAAUGGUUGAAGUAUCAAUGUUACCAUGUAUGGCACUUUUUUUUCGUGAACUUUUAUAGAGGUGGUCUAUUGACCAUUCAAAAAAUGGUAUGAUUUGAUAUUGC